AACACCAAGGGUGAACUCUAAUGUAACCUAAGGACUUUAGUUAAUAAUAAUGUAUCAGCAUUGGCUCAUCAAUUGCAACAAGUACAGCA